GGCCGGAGCGCAGGAGCCGACGGUGCCCGACCAGGAUGGUGCAGUGGCGGCUCCGCGGCGCACGCACGCGCUGAGCGGGCCCAAGCUGGGCCCCGCGCCCCCCGCGCCCCCCGCCGCCCCGAUCCGGGCCGGCAUGAUGUGCCUGGAAUGCGCCUCGGCGGCGGCGGGCGGCGCGGAGGAGGAGGAGGCGGACGCGGAGCGGCGGCGCCGGCGCCGGGGGGCGCAGCGAGGGGCUGGCGGUAGCGGUUGCUGCGGGGCGCGGGGCGCGGGCGGCGCUGGAGUCUCGGCCGCGGACGAUGAGGUGCAGACGCUGUCGGGCAGCGUAAGGCGGGCCCCGACCGGACCCCCCGGCACCCCCGGCUGCGCAGCUACUGCAAAGGGCCCCGGCGCUCAGCAGCCCAAACCGGCCAGCUUGGGCCGCGGGCGGGGGGCAGCCGCCGCCAUCCUCAGCUUGGGCAACGUGCUCAACUACCUGGACAGGUACACCGUGGCAGGCGUCCUUCUGGACAUCCAGCAGCACUUUGGGGUCAAGGACCGAGGCGCCGGCCUGCUGCAGUCAGUGUUCAUCUGUAGCUUCAUGGUGGCUGCCCCCAUUUUCGGCUACCUGGGCGACCGCUUCAACAGGAAGGUGAUUCUCAGCUGCGGCAUUUUCUUCUGGUCGGCCGUCACCUUCUCCAGCUCCUUCAUUCCCCAGCAGUACUUCUGGCUGCUGGUCCUGUCCCGGGGGCUGGUGGGCAUCGGGGAGGCCAGCUACUCCACCAUCGCCCCCACUAUCAUUGGCGACCUCUUCACCAAGAACACGCGUACGCUCAUGCUGUCCGUCUUCUACUUCGCCAUCCCACUGGGCAGUGGCCUGGGCUACAUUACUGGCUCCAGCGUGAAGCAGGCAGCCGGAGACUGGCACUGGGCAUUGCGGGUGUCCCCUGUCCUGGGCAUGAUCACAGGAACACUCAUCCUCAUUCUGGUCCCAGCCACUAAAAGGGGUCAUGCCGACCAGCUCGGGGACCAGCUCAAGGCCCGGACCUCAUGGCUCCGAGAUAUGAAGGCCCUGAUUCGAAACCGCAGCUACGUCUUCUCCUCCCUGGCCACGUCGGCUGUCUCCUUCGCCACGGGGGCCCUGGGCAUGUGGAUCCCGCUCUACCUGCACCGCGCCCAAGUUGUGCAGAAGACAGCGGAGACGUGCAACAGCCCGCCCUGUGGGGCCAAGGACAGCCUCAUCUUUGGGGCCAUCACCUGCUUUACGGGAUUUCUGGGCGUGGUCACGGGGGCAGGAGCCACGCGCUGGUGCCGCCUGAAGACCCAGCGGGCCGACCCACUGGUGUGUGCCGUGGGCAUGCUGGGCUCUGCCAUCUUCAUCUGCCUGAUCUUCGUGGCUGCCAAGAGCAGCAUCGUAGGAGCCUAUAUCUGUAUCUUCGUCGGGGAGACGCUGCUGUUUUCUAACUGGGCCAUCACUGCAGACAUCCUCAUGUACGUGGUCAUCCCCACGCGGCGCGCCACUGCCGUGGCCUUGCAGAGCUUCACCUCCCACCUGCUGGGGGACGCCGGGAGCCCCUACCUCAUUGGCUUUAUCUCAGACCUGAUCCGCCAGAGCACCAAGGACUCCCCGCUCUGGGAGUUCCUGAGCCUGGGCUACGCGCUCAUGCUCUGCCCUUUCGUUGUGGUCCUGGGCGGCAUGUUCUUCCUCGCCACUGCGCUCUUCUUCGUCAGCGACCGCGCCAGGGCUGAGCAGCAGUCCCUGCCCAGCACCUCCGGUCAGCUGGCCCCCACGACGCGAUGUGCCAGAGCAGUGCCCGGGCCCGGCCCCCGCUGAUGCACCACCCUGACCCCCGCCCGUCUCUCCCCCAGGGUGAACCAGCUGACGAUGCCGCCCGCAUCUGUGAAAGUCUGAGGUGGUGCCAUUGGGACAAUGAAGAACCCACACUCCCACCUCGUCUGGGAGGUGUCCUACAGCGUCCGGGACCGGCUGGGCUGCCCCAAAGCUUUCUGUGUGAUCCACGGCUAGGCACCCACCCUCUCUGGCCCAGGCCUGCUGAGUGGCCCUGGCAUCAAGAAGAGGCUGUGUCCUCAGUUACCCUGGAAGGAUGUGUGUGUUGGAGCCACACGGUUGGACAGAUUCCCAGCCCUAGGUUUGGGCCGCAGGGCCCCUGGGGCCAAGGAAGAAGACAGCCCCAAGUGGGUGUCCGGGGAGAGCCUGGCCUGCCACCAGCUUAUGUGAUCUUGGGCAAGUCCCUGCCCUCCCUGGAACGAAGGGCCAGGGGGCUGGACUUUCCCACACAACUUUCUGGGCAAAGCACGAUCUGCAGCUUUGAAGACUCAACAGACCCUGGACCAUACAGAGAGCAGGUGGCCCAGGCCUCAGGGCGGCAGUCCCGGCUUUGAGACUCACGCGAGGGCCUGGUGUGCAGGGACCACUGCUCAGCUGGGCCUCGGACCUUGGGGAUAUUGGACUCAACGUGGCAAAUGAAGCUGGGCACCCAAGUCUCUGGGUACUCCCUGGAGGACACUGUCUCGGGUUGGCUCCCAGCCUGGAGGUCCCAGAUGGGGACUGUUCUGACAAGCUGGCAUCACCAGGGGUGAAGGCCCUGGCUGCAGCUGUACACCACCUGUGCCCCCAGGCUCAAGGUCUCUGGGAGGUGCACACCAGCCCACCUCUGCAGGGCUUCUCUCCCUGCCACCCACCCCCCAAGCCAGGAACCCACUCCUUCCCCGAGGCUGAGCUGAGCCUUUUCCAGGGGCAGGGCCCAGGAGACCAUUCCCAGAAUCCAUGGGGCAGUAGCCAGGGCUCUGGCUGCUGGAGGAAGCAGCUAUCCACAAAGCUUCCUGCCCCAGAGCUGAGGCUGAGGCCCCGGGAGAGGCCGGCCCCUACCCAAACACUGACUGCUGGCAUUCCACCAAGUGACCCCGGGGGCCAGGCCUUCGAUCACCCACCUCCCAUCCAUGCACACACCAGGAUGCAGCUGCCAACUUCACACCAGCCCCAACCCGCUUUGGGGGAGCUUAGCCCCUGCGUCACCCACUCCCUGCACUUCUGCUGCAAUCAAAGUGGUUCUGGUGCGGGGGGCGGGGCUUGUGGCCAAUAGGAGACCCCCAAGAGCCAGCUUGGACAAUGCUCUUCUUGCCCCUUAGUUACUGGCUGGCUGUGGCUUCAGUGGUGUGUAAGCUAGUGGAAUACUCACCCACCAAGCUCUGGGGUACCCCAAGGGCCUGACAAGAGGAUGGGGUGGGGGUGGUAUCCUCCAAAGACCAGCCUCCACCCCCACUCCAGCCUCAGCGGGGCCCCAGCGAUGUUUUCUUGUUGUACAAGAACCAGGUCCGAGUGUUGCCUCCUCUUCCUUCCGGAAGCCAAACUGCUCCUUUAUUUUUUAGAGCUGCUGAUUGUGAAUCUCAGAGUCUUAAGAGAGAAACCAAAUAUAUUCCUCUUGUAAAUGAAGAAAUAAACCUAUUUAAAUCA